rnacentral:rRNA from 1 species
GGAAUUGUUCGCAAUGGGCGCAAGCCUGACGACGCAACGCCGCGUGGAGGAUGAAGGUCUUCGGAUUGUAAACUCCUGUUGACCGGGACGAAUGGCCUCCGACUGAAUACGUCGGUGGAAUGACGGUACCGGUUGAGGAAGCCACGGCUAACUCUGUGCCAGCAGCCGCGGUAAUACAGAGGUGGCAAGCGUUGUUCGGAAUUACCGGGCGUAAAGGGCGCGUAGGCGGCCUCGUCAGUCAGACGUGAAAUCCCCAGGCUUAACUUGGGAACUGCGUCUGAUACUACAAGGCUUGAGUGCGGGAGAGGGAUGUGGAAUUCCAGGUGUAGCGGUGAAAUGCGUAGAUAUCUGGAGGAACACCGGUGGCGAAGGCGGCAUCCUGGACCGACACUGACGCUGAGGCGCGAAAGCUAGGGGAGCAAAC